rnacentral:rRNA from 1 species
CGAACGCUGGCGGCAUGCCUAACACAUGCAAGUCGAACGCACCUUCGGGUGAGUGGCGGACGGGUGAGUAACGCGUGGGAACCUGCCUUUCAGUACGGAAUAACCAAGGGAAACUCUGGCUAAUACCGUAUACGUCCUUCGGGAGAAAGAUUUAUCGCUGAAAGAUGGGCCCGCGUACGAUUAGCUUGUUGGUGAGGUAAUGGCUCACCAAGGCGACGAUCGUUAGCUGGUCUUAGAGGAUGAUCAGCCACACUGGGACUGAGACACGGCCCAGACUCCUACGGGAGGCAGCAGUGGGGAAUAUUGGACAAUGGGCGAAAGCCUGAUCCAGCAAUGCCGCGUGAGUGAUGAAGGCCUUAGGGUUGUAAAGCUCUUUUACCAGGGAAGAUGAUGACUGUACCUGGAGAAUAAGCCCCGGCUAACUCCGU